CUUGUGUUAAUCAUCCUGAUCAGGCAUAAAGGGUUUGUAGGCAGCUUUAAAAUAAUUAAAGAUUGAAUCAAAUAGAGGUCAAGAGAAUUCCUAGAUUAGGGUUGAUAUCUGAAAAAACUAGGAAGAAUUCUAAUUAGCAAAGGCACUUUUCUAUCUAAUGAUUGACACUGAGAAAUGAAGGGGAGGAUCAACAAUAGGAUUAGAUACCCUGGCAUCCCUCUCUUUAAACGAUGAAUGGUAGUUGCUAGUAAUAAUAAUUAGUGGCGAGGCUAAUACAUUAACCAUUCCACCUUGUGAGUACAACUGCAAAGUUGAAAACAAAAAAAUUAGUUGGUUUCUGAGCAAAUGAAGUKAAGCAUGUUAUUUAAUUCGAUAAUCCGC
rnacentral:rRNA from 1 species